UUGUGGGGCAUUUUGCAGGGUAUCUUCUUAUCUCACAUACACCUAUGUUUUAAUAAGUGAUGCAACAUUGCAUAUUUUCUAAACCAAGAAAAAUUAAGCAAGUGUUUAAGUGAUUUUUCCUUUUGAUAGUGGGUUAAUUGGACUUCAUCAAAGAAAAUGGUAUCUGCAAAACUGCUUUGCAUGUUAUAAAAAUGCUUAUUUCACAACUUGCUUUUCACAUAACCUCUUACCAUUAAUUUGCCUAACAGACAUUGAUCGCCCUAAAGGACUGGCAUUCACUGAUGUGGAUGUCGAUUCCAUCAAAAUUGCUUGGGAAAGCCCACAGGGGCAAGUUUCCAGGUACAGGGUGACCUACUCGAGCCCUGAGGAUGGAAUCCAUGAGCUAUUCCCUGCACCUGAUGGUGAAGAAGACACUGCAGAGCUGCAAGGCCUCAGACCGGGUUCUGAGUACACAGUCAGUGUGGUUGCCUUGCACGAUGAUAUGGAGAGCCAGCCCCUGAUUGGAACCCAGUCCACAGCUAUUCCUGCACCAACUGACCUGAAGUUCACUCAAGUCACACCCACGAGCCUGAGCGCCCAGUGGACACCACCCAAUGUUCAGCUCACUGGAUAUAGAGUGCGGGUGACCCCCAAGGAGAAGACCGGACCAAUGAAAGAAAUCAACCUUGCUCCUGACAGCUCAUCCGUGGUUGUAUCAGGACUUAUGGUGGCCACCAAAUAUGAAGUGAGUGUCUAUGCUCUUAAGGACACUUUGACAAGCAGACCAGCUCAGGGAGUUGUCACCACUCUGGAGAAUGUCAGCCCACCAAGAAGGGCUCGUGUGACAGAUGCUACUGAGACCACCAUCACCAUUAGCUGGAGAACCAAGACCGAGACGAUCACUGGCUUCCAAGUUGAUGCUGUUCCAUCCAAUGGCCAGACUCCUAUCCAGAGAACCAUCAAGCCAGAUGUCAGAAGCUACACCAUCACAGGUUUACAACCAGGCACUGACUACAAGAUCUACCUGUACACCUUGAACGACAAUGCCCGGAGCUCCCCUGUGGUCAUCGACGCCUCC
rnacentral:sRNA from 1 species